rnacentral:rRNA from 1 species
UACGUAGGGGGCAAGCGUUGUCCGGAUUUAUUGGGCGUAAAGAGCGUGUAGGCGGUUUGGUAGGUCCGCUGUGAAAACUCGAGGCUCAACCUCGAGACGCCGGUGGAAACCAUCAGACUAGAGUCCGGAAGAGGAGAGUGGAAUUCCUGGUGUAGCGGUGAAAUGCGCAGAUAUCAGGAGGAACACCGGUGGCGAAGGCGGAUCUCUGGGCCAUUACUGACGCUGAGGAGCGAAAGCGUGGGGAGCGAACAGG